AGAGUUGUUUUUUGUAAAGAAUGCUUUUGUGCAAGGUACUUUACCGAGUUCCCUGGAACGGGACGCCAUAGAGGGUGAGAGCCCCGUACGGUCAGACCACCGAGCCUCUGUAAAGCUCCUUCGACGAGUCGAGUAUUUUGGGAAUGCUGCUCUAAAUGGGAGGUGUACGUCUUCUAAAGCUAAAUACCGGCCAGAGACCGAUAGCGCACAAGUAGAGUGAUCGAAAGAUGAAAAGCACUUUGAAAAGAGGGUUAAAAAGUACGUGAAAUUGUUGAAAGGGAAGCAUUCAUGACCAGACUUGGGCUUGGUUGAACAUCCGGCGUUCUCGCCGGUGCACUCUGCCAGUCCAGGCCAGCAUCAGUUUGACCCGGGGGACAAAGGCGGUGGGAAUGUGGCUCCCCUCGGGGAGUGUUAUAGCCCGCCGUGUAAUGCCCUGGGUUGGACUGAGGAACGCGCUUCGGCACGGAUGCUGGCGUAAUGGUCAUCAAUGACC
rnacentral:rRNA from 1 species